rnacentral:rRNA from 1 species
GUCGAACGAUGAACCACUUCGGUGGGGAUUAGUGGCGAACGGGUGAGUAACACGUGGGCAAUCUGCCCUUCACUCUGGGACAAGCCCUGGAAACGGGGUCUAAUACCGGAUAUCACUCCCGCAGGCAUCUGCGGGUGUCGAAAGCUCCGGCGGUGAAGGAUGAGCCCGCGGCCUAUCAGCUUGUUGGUGAGGUAAUGGCUCACCAAGGCGACGACGGGUAGCCGGCCUGAGAGGGCGACCGGCCACACUGGGACUGAGACACGGCCCAGACUCCUACGGGAGGCAGCAGUGGGGAAUAUUGCACAAUGGGCGAAAGCCUGAUGCAGCGACGCCGCGUGAGGGAUGACGGCCUUCGGGUUGUAAACCUCUUUCAGCAGGGAAGAAGCGAAAGUGACGGUACCUGCAGAAGAAGCGCCGGCUAACUACGUGCCAGCAGCCCCGGGUAAUUCA